GCAAUUAUAGCUUAAUUAAAGCAUUGGUCUUGUAAGCCAAAGAUGAACAAAAUGUUUCUUAUUGCU
rnacentral:tRNA from 1 species